AUUGAACGCUGGCGGCAUGCCUUACACAUGCAAGUCGAACGGUAACAGGUCUUCGGAUGCUGACGAGUGGCGAACGGGUGAGUAAUACAUCGGAACGCGCCUAGUAGUGGGGGAUAACUACUCGAAAGAGUGGCUAAUACCGCAUGAGAUCUACGGAUGAAAGCAGGGGAUCGCAAGACCUUGUGCUACUAGAGCGGCCGAUGGCAGAUUAGGUAGUUGGUGGGAUAAAAGCUUACCAAGCCGACGAUCUGUAGCUGGUCUGAGAGGACGAUCAGCCACACUGGGACUGAGACACGGCCCAGACUCCUACGGGCGGCAGCAGUGGGGAAUGUUGGACAAUGGGCGAAAGCCUGAUCCAGCAAUGCCGCGUGCAGGAUGAAGGCCUUCGGGUUGUAAACUGCUUUUGUACGGAACGAAAAGCCCCGGGUUAAUACCCUGGGGUCAUGACGGUACCGUAAGAAUAAGCACCGGCUAACUACGUGCCAGCCGCCGCGGUAA
rnacentral:rRNA from 1 species